rnacentral:rRNA from 1 species
GAUGAACGCUAGCGGCAGGCUUAACACAUGCAAGUCGAGGGGUAUAGUAGCAAUACUAGAGACCGGCGCACGGGUGCGUAACGCGUAUGCAAUCUACCUUUUACAGAGGGAUAGCCCAGAGAAAUUUGGAUUAAUACCUCAUAGCAUUGCGAAAUGGCAUCAUUUUGUAAUUAAAGUCACAACGGUAAAAGAUGAGCAUGCGUCCCAUUAGCUAGUUGGUAAGGUAACGGCUUACCAAGGCAACGAUGGGUAGGGGUCCUGAGAGGGAGAUCCCCCACACUGGUACUGAGACACGGACCAGACUCCUACGGGAGGCAGCAGUGAGGAAUAUUGGACAAUGGGCGCAAGCCUGAUCCAGCCAUGCCGCGUGCAGGAUGACGGUCCUAUGGAUUGUAAACUGCUUUUGUACGAGAAGAAACACUCCGACGUGUCGGAGCUUGACGGUAUCGUAAGAAUAAGGAUCGGCUAACUCCGUGCCAGCAG